ensembl:lncRNA
AAUUUUGGGAUCUGGGUAUACAUUAGGUGCUGUAUAGAUGUUAGCUAUUAGAAUUCUGGGGUCUGGGCCUACAAUAGGUGCUGUAUAGAUGCUACCUACUAGAAUUCUGUGGUCUGGGCAUACAUUAGGUGCUGUAUAGUUGGUAGCUAUUCGAAUACUUGUAGUCUAGGCAUACGGUAGGUGCUGUAUAGAUGAUGCCUAUUUGAAUUCUGUGGCCUGGGCAUACAUUAGGUGCUAUACAGAUGCAAGCUAUUAGAAUUCUUUGGUCUUGGUAUACAUUAGGUGCUGUAUAGAUUCUAGCUACUAGAAUUCUGUGGUCUGGGCAUACAUUAGGUGCAUUAUACAUGUUAGCUAUUAGAAUUCUGGGGUCUGGAUCUACGAUAGGUGUUCUAUAUAUCCUAACUACUAGAAUUUUGGCAUCUGGGCGUACAAUAGGUAUUGUAUAGAUGCUACCUACUAGAAUUCUGUGGUCUGGGCAUACAUUACAUGCUGUAAAGAUGCUACCUAUUAGAAUUUUGGUUUCUGGGCCUACGGUAGGUGCUUUAUCGAUGCUAGCUAUUUGACUUCUGGGGUCUGCGAAUACAUUAGGUGCUGUAUAGAUGCUAGCUAUUAGAAUUCUGGGGUCUGGGCCUACAAUAGAUGCUGUAUAGAUGCUACCAAUUAGAAUUCUGCGGUCUGUCCAUACAUUAGGUGCUGUAUAGAUGCUACCUAUUAGAAUUCUGUGGUCUGGGUAUACAUUAGGUGCUGUAUAGGUUACCUAUUAGAAUCCUUGCGUCUGGGCAUCCAUUAGGUGUUUUAUAGAUGCUAGCUAUUAGAAUUCUGGGGUCUAGGCCUACAAUAUGAGAGUAUAGGUGCUACCUACUUGAAUUCUGUGGUCUGGGCAUACAUUAGGUGGUAUAUAGAUGCUACCUAUUAGAAUUAAGGGGUCUGGGCUUACAUUAGGUGCUUUAUACAUGUUAGCUAUUAGAAUUCUGGGAUCUGGACCUACGAUACGUGCUCUAUAUAUCCUACCUACUAGAAUUUUGGGGUCUGGGCAUACAUUAGGUGCUGUAUAGAUACUAACUAUUAGAAUUUUGUGUUCUGGGCAAACAUUAGGUGCUAUAUAGAUACUACCUAUUAGAAUUCUGGGGCCUGGGCAUACUUAGGUGCUGCAUAGAUGUUUGCUAUUAGAAUUCUGGGGUCUGGGCCUACAAUAGAUGCUGUAUAGAUGCUACCUACUAGAAUUCUAUUGUCUGGGUAUACAUUAGGUGCUGUAUAGAUGCUAGCUAUUAGAAUUCUGGGGUCUGGGCCCACAAUAGGUUCUCUAUAGAUGCUACCUAAUUGAAUUCUGUGGUCUGGGUAUACAUUAGGUUCUGUCUAGAUGCUAGCUAUUAAAAUUCUGGGGUCUGGGCCUAGUGCUACCUAUUAGAAUUCUGCAGCCUGGGCAUACAUUAGGUGUUAUAUAGAUGUUAACUAUUACAAUUCUGGUAUCCUGGCCUACAUUUGGAGAUGUAUAGAUGCUACCUACUAGAAUUGUGUGGUCUGGGCAUACAUUAAUUGCUGUAUAGAUGCUACCUAUUCGAAUUCUAGUUUCUGGGACUACGGUAGUUGCUGUAUAGAUGCUAGCUAUUAGACUUCUGGGGUCUGGGUCUACGUUAGCUGCUCCAUAGAUCCUAACUAUUAGCAUUAUGGGCUCUGGGCCUACGUUAGGUGCAGGAAAGUUGCGAUCUACUAGAAUUUUGGGAUCUGGUAUACAUUAGGUGCUGUAUAGAUGCUACCUAUUAGAAUUCUGGGGUCUGGGCGUAUAGUAGGUGCUGUAUAGAUGCUACCUACUAGAAUUCUGUGGUCUGGGCCUACAUUAGGUGUAGGAAAGGUGCUACCUAUUAGAAUUCUGGUGUCUGGGCAUGCAUUAGGUGCUGUAUAGAUGUUAGCCAAUAGAAUUCUGGGGUCUAGGCCUACGAUAUGUGCUGUAUAGGUGCUACCUACUUGAAUUCUGUGGUCUGGGCAUACAUUAGGUGGUAUAUAGAUGCUACCUAUUAGAAUUAAGGGGUCUGGGCUUACAUUAGGUGCAUUAUACAUGUUAGCUAUUAGAAUUCUGGGGUCUGGAUCUACGAUAGGUGUUCUAUAUAUCCUAACUACUAGAAUUUUGGCAU